UACGUAGGGUGCAAGCGUUGUCCGGAAUUAUUGGGCGUAAAGAGCUCGUAGGCGGUCUGUCGCGUCGGACGUGAAAACCCAGGGCUCAACCCUGGGCCUGCGUUCGAUACGGGCAGACUAGAGUUCGGUAGGGGAGACUGGAAUUCCUGGUGUAGCGGUGAAAUGCGCAGAUAUCAGGAAGAACACCCGUGGCUAAGGCGGCUCUCUAGUACGGUACUGACGCUGAGACGCGAAAGCGUGGGGAGCGAACAGG
rnacentral:rRNA from 1 species